rnacentral:lncRNA from 1 species
ACAUAACAUGUUGUGUCUACUGCUUCUGCCCAUAAAUGUUUAGCCAAAUUGUUUUAAUGAAUCAUGGUUCUAGCCAUUUCUUGUAAUGUUCUAUUCUUUCUCUCUACAACCCCAUUUUCUUGUGGAGAUAUAGGAGAAGAGAAUUCAUGGACAAUUUUAUGUUUUUCACAAAAAAUUUCAAAUGGCUCAUUUUCAAAUUGUUCACCAUGAUCACUUCUGACCUUUAAAAUUUUC